UAUUUGUCAUUAAAAAUAAAAAAAAGAGAAUCAAUCUUUUUACUUGUAUUGUUGCCUAAGCUCCGCUUUCAUUUUUAUGACUUCAUUUGUGUGUGUUUUUUUGCCUUGGCAGUGAAGGUUACAAAAUUCCACUCCCUACUGCAAACAUGUGAAACAUGCUGCUGCCAUUGGAACCAAGCAGAAAGAUUAAAGAAAAGGAAAAAGAAGAAGAAAGAAGCAGAAAUUGCCCAUCCUCAUACUAUUCAAAGCUAUAAAGCAAAAAUGUCGAAUGGAACUGGGAUGUCCCAAAAAAUGGCAAGUAGCUUUAGUAAAGCUAAGAUCAAAGCAUAUCUUGUGAAGCACACCAAAAAAAGAAAGAAAGAAAAAAGAAGAGCUGGACUUGCCGGUUGAAGCAUAUGUUCCUGGUUAUUUGAUAAAGCAAUGGCUCCAAGUGAACCAAAUGCUAUAUAGGCUGUUCAUAUCAAUUUUCAACUUUUCAAAUUACACCAAUUUUGUCCCU